CGUGGGUGAUCUGCCCUGCACUUCGGGAUAAGCUUGGGAAACUGGGUCUAAUACCGGAUAGGAGCCAUCUUUAGUGUGGUGGUUGGAAAGUUUUUCGGUUGUAGGAUGAGCUCGCGGCCUAUCAGCUUGUUGGUGGGGUAAUGGCCUACCAAGGCGGCGACGGGUAGCCGGCCUGAGAGGGUGUACGGCCACAUUGGGACUGAGAUACGGCCCAG
rnacentral:rRNA from 1 species